AGAGUUUGAUCAUGGCUCAGAUUGAACGCUGGCGGCAGGCCUAACACAUGCAAGUCGAGCGGCAGCACAGAGGAACUUGUUCCUUGGGUGGCGAGCGGCGGACGGGUGAGUAAUGCCUGGGAAAUUGCCCGGUAGAGGGGGAUAA
rnacentral:rRNA from 1 species